UCCGAGUUGUAAUCGAGAGCUUUAUUAUUAGGGCAAUGAGGCGAUGAGCGUAGGCGUGGGAAGAUAGUGCGAGGUGGAGCCGGGAUGUUGAAGCACUCGAGGAGGACGUCGGGAAUGACGGCGGGACCGAGGCCGAGAGGCCCGGCUAAUCUCGUCGUCCGCAGAAGGAGGCGAGGCCGGUCCGUGUCUAGGAGUUGGCCCGGGACACCCGGAACCUUGUCAAUCAUCUCUACAACUUCGUCCGAGAUCGACUACCCGGAGGUGCACAGCGGUAGAAUGCAUCGACCUCCGCAGGCGCAUCCCAUCAGCGACCAUCGCCAGGUCAAUUUGGUCUUCGAAGAUACGUUUUCACAAGGCCUGACAGGCCGGCCGGAACUUUAUCAGAAAUCCAAUCGAAGCAGUCACUCCAGUGAUACCAGUUCGGCAUAUAGUGGAUCGGACACGAUGACAUCUGUUCAGAGCUCCUUAGACGCGGAUCCAGAUGAGGUUGACCUCUCUGGUCUUGUGGAGUCGAUAGUGGACAGCGAUGAAGAGGAAGAUCUUGCGGAGAGUAUGGAUAGUUUAACCGUGCGUGAUACAGUUCGAGAAUGCUUAGAGAAAGAUCCAGUAGAAAGGACCGAAGAUGACAUCGAAGUUCUCCUAGAGUUUACGCAGCAUCUUAAAGCCUUUACAAAUAUGACUCUUGCGGUACGAAGAGCUUUAUGUGCAGUUAUGGUAUUUGCAGUAGUGGAACGAGCGGGUAUGGUGGUCCUUACCGAUGGAGAGGAACUAGAUAGUUGGAGCGUUCUUAUUAAUGGUACUGUGGAGGUCGAAUACAAUAAUGGAGAGGUCGAGCAGUUGCACGUGGGGGACAGUUUUGGCAUUUUGCCUACGAUGGAAAGGCUACUGCACCGUGGGAUUAUGAGGACAAAGUGCGAUGACUGUCAGUUCGUCUGCGUCACCCAAGCUGACUACUACAGGAUCCAGCACCAAGGCGAGGAGAACACGAGGCGGCACGAAGAGAACGGCCGUGUGAUCCUGGUGACCGAGCUUCGUGGCGCUUUGGACGGUGGGGCAAGGCGCGGCCACGUCGUUAUCAGGGGCACCCCCGACCGACUAAUGCUCCAGCUAAUCGAAGAGAAUAGUAUUACGGAUCCAACCUACGUCGAGGACUUUCUACUGACGCAUCGCACCUUCGUCGACAAUUCGCUCUUCGUCGCGACGCAGCUGCUCGAUUGGUUCGAACAGGCCCAAGUCAGGGACAGGGUUGCGCGGGUUGUCCUGCUCUGGGUCAACAAUCACUUCACGGACUUCGAGACCGAUCCAGCAAUGAUGGAGUUCUUGGAGGCCUUCGAGGCCUGCCUCGAGCGAGAGAAGAUGCAAGGACAACAGAGAUUGCUGAACAUCGCGUGCGCCGCCAAAGCGCGAACGCGAAAUGUCGUUUUAGCGAGACCAAGUAGGGAUGAAGUUCUACACUUCAGUAUUUUAGGCGGUUACGAAAGAGGAUUUGGUAUAUUUAUUUCCAAAGUAGAGAAGAAGUCGAAGGCGGAAGACGUCGGACUGAAGCGAGGCGACCAAAUUCUCGAGGUCAACGGACAAAGUUUCGAGCACGUUAAUCAUGCGAAAGCCUUGGAAAUUCUCCGAAGUUCUACGCAUCUUAGCAUAACCGUCAAAUCUAAUCUCUUAGCGUUUAAAGAGAUGUUGCAAAUGCCGGACAAUUCACCACGACCACGCAGUCGACCAAAUAAACCUGAAAUGCUUCCAAGACUGCAGACUGAUCCGCGUAUAAGAUUAUCAACACACGUUGAUCCACUGACACCUGUUAAUCCUCUGAACCCAAUGGUUGGCGGAGUGCCACUCCUCAUUCCGGCGGACACUAGUAGCGUGUCUCCUUGCAAAGAGGCGAAGAAAGAGCAUAAGGGCUUUAUGACACUUGGACCUAGAAAGAGGUUUCAAAAGGCUCUCAUGAAGAUGAACAUUUUGCCAAAGAACAUGAUCAAUGACGGGGUGCACGCGGAUGAUCCUCUGGGCCCGCCGCACACGCCCCCCGGAACCGGCCUCUCGCAGCAGUCAUCGAACCUCUAUCAUUCCCGCUCGAAUCCAGACCUUACAUCGCUCUAUUGCUAUGACGAUCUGCGGGCGCCCGAUUACCCGGAACACGUUCUCAAGGUCUACAAAGCCGAUCAGACCUGCAAAUACCUGCUAGUACACAAGGAGACGACGGCUCAUGAGGUCGUUAUGCUGGCCCUACAGGAAUUCGGCAUCACGGAGAGCAGCUCAAAUUUCUCGCUCGCCGAGGUGAGCGUCGGCGAGGGUGGCAUGAUAAAGCAGAGGAGGCUGCCCGACCAACUGCAGAAUCUUGCUGAAAGGAUCGGAUUGAGUUCGAGAUAUUACCUCAAGACAAACGGGGUGUCCGAGACACUGGUUGCCGAUGAGCAAGCUCCGGACCUGGUCAGGGAGUCCCAUGUGCACUUUUUGCAGCUCAAUGCGGUGGAGGUGGCCAUUCAACUCACCCUCCAGGAUUUCAGUAUAUUUAGGCAAAUCGAAUCUACCGAAUACGUGGACGAUCUUUUCGAAUUGAAAAGUAAAUACGGCGUGCCAAUGUUGAGCCAGUUUGCCGAACUAGUGAAUCGUGAAAUGUUUUGGGUCGUUACGGAAGUGUGUUCCGAACAUAAUCUCGUCAGGCGUAGUAAAAUCAUUAAACAGUUUAUAAAAAUAGCACGUCAAUGCAAAGAAUGCAAAAAUUUCAAUUCUAUGUUUGCAAUUGUCUCUGGCUUGGGUCAUGGAGCCGUUUCGAGGCUCAGAGCUUCUUGGGAGAAGUUACCCAGCAAAUAUCAAAGGCUCUUCAGCGACCUGCAGGAGCUUAUGGAUCCCAGCCGAAAUAUGAGCAAAUACCGACAGUUAGUUGCUAGCGAACAAACUCAGCCUCCGAUCAUUCCAUUUUAUCCAGUUGUUAAGAAAGAUCUAACAUUUAUACAUCUCGGUAACGAUUCGAGAGUAGAAGGACUAGUGAACUUCGAGAAGCUUCGAAUGAUAGCGAAAGAAGUUCGAACUCUAACGAACAUGUGCUCGUCGGCUUACGACUUGCUAACAAUGUUAGAACGCGGAGGACAGCCGCCUAGUUCCGCAAUGGUGGCCCUUAAUCAAAUGACCACUGGUAAUCAAGGCGGGCAGACGGCAACGGUAAAGAGACGCAAGAAGUCCGCGGCGGCGCCGAAUCCGAAAAAGAUGUUCGAAGAGGCGCAGAUGGUGCGUAGGGUAAAGGCCUACCUCGCUAAUAUGAAGGUCACUACCGACGAAGAGAGGCUGCACCAGCUGUCGGUCGAGUGCGAGCCGCACGCGGGCGCCGUGGCGAUGGCCGCCGCUGUGCCUCUCGGGGGAUCUCGCGGUAGGAGGCAUCCGUCACCUACGCUCUCAACGACGAGCAGUGCCAGCAGCACCAGCGAGGGCCGGAAGAGCAUACAAGGCACGAAGUUCGGCGCGGCCUCGCCUCAGGCGGUCCGCAAGAUGCUCGCCCUCUCGGAUCCGCACAAGACGCGGCCCUACCAGCCGAAGCACUGCGCGCCCCCGCUUCCGGUGCCCGGCCUCGCUCUCCACUCGUCCGCCCUGGAGUCGAGCCCGGGCGCGGCGCGACGCGUCGGCUCCGGUAGCAGUCGCGCGCCAAUGCACGAGCGGUCGCACAGCGACACGCCCUCGGGCCUCCCACCGCCCGUCGACCUCAGUGCCGAGAGUAGCAGUGUCACCAGCCUCAGCAACCUCCAGCCGCUUAGGAAAACCUUGACGAGCGGUUCGGUGACGAGCAGUGACAGCGGUCACAGUACGCAACUGGACAGCCACAGUGGAAGCAGCGUCGAGGCCGGGGGCAGUCCACCGCCUCCCCAACGUCGGCACUCCGCCUUGCAAGGGCAGUUCGCGCGUGCGGGCGCAGCCCCGCCGUUCCCCCAGGCGGUUGCGGUGCUGCCCCCAUUGCCCGGGACUCGCAAUCAUCAGCACCUGCAAAUCGAUCAUCAACGCAAGCAUCGGGAUUGCGAUCGCAAUCGUCAUUGUCAUCAGCGCCAGCGCCAUCAAUCCCUGUGUCCCUUCGACGGUGGUGCAGGAGUCGGGAUGACGGUCAAUUGCAUGCCGCCACCGCCGCUGCCGCCGCCUCUCGGACGGCAGAUGCGCCCGAGUGUCGUUGAGUGCCGGGUGCCACCCGACUACAAGAUCGCCGCCCAAAUGGCGCGACUGCACAGGCUCGGGCGCGCCCACAGCCACGAGGGAGUCACCUACCGCAACGAUCACGAAGAUGGUAUAUAAAUGUGUGGCGGGCGCACGAUUACAACGCCGAGACUGAUCCAUGCCCAACUUUAUCUACCGACGACCACACACACCCACACACGAACUCACAUUUAUGAAUAUUAACGCACGCCAAUUACUACCUACCUUAAAACCAUCAUUGACGAGACGGACGCUCGUGCGAUUACCCAAUCGCAAUCACUCGCAGACGACGAGGACGCCCAGGUGUCGGCCGUAUAGGGCAAGCCUCCGGGCCGUGUCCCGGAGCGAUCAGCCUCGAUAGCCUCGGGGGCGUCGUUCGACGUCGCCAAGGCGCGGCUCCAUUCUUCGUUCGUGAUGCGCGGGCCCCGCGCCCCGAGGCCCGGACCCAGGAGGAACCAGCUACAGCAGGGACCCUUGUAAAGGGAGGAGCCGGAGGAGAAUGGCCAGCGUCCAACCUCGUCGAGAGUUCGCUUCUUCCGGGCAUCGGAGUCCUUUCGCUCGAUCGUUCCACUCAUCUCAUUUUUUUCAAGAAGCCUCUUACCAGCACGGGGAUGGGUUCUGGAGAUCGGACGCCUCUCCCUCAUUAACCGACCAUCGCGCGUCCAUACGAUGGAAAGUACUCCGAGGCUCUCGCUGCCCCCGACCGAUCGCUUUCAUUUUUCUUCUUCUUCUUCUUCUUCUUCUUCUUCUUCUUCUUCUUCUUCUUCUUGCGCGCUGAUAGACGCUUGACGGACCAUCGCACCCGCUCACUCCUCGGACGAUCGAGAACGAAGACACAUUUUAUACAAGCGAGAAUCUAACUGUAUAACUCGGCCUCAAUUAUAUUUAGAAUUUAUUGGACGAGUAACUUCCUAACGUUGCGAGCGAAAUUCUCCAAGUUAUAUCUGAUAUAUGCAUAUGUAAGCACACAGUGUAUGAAAUGAAAAGCAAACGGUGUGAGCAGUCGUAAGACGUAUUAUUGUUCUAUAUAUGAAACAAACAAACAAACAAACAAACAAACAAACAAAAAAAAAAAGUGUAAUAAAUCGAGUCCAAAGAUGUUAAAUAUCAUUUCAGUGUUGAAUUAGAAAAAGAGGCGGCAUCCUGUAUAAUAUAAUUUUAGGCUAGCCCAUUUCGCAAGAUAUCCGUAGCGCGUAAGUUGGUGUAAAUAGAGGUAGAAUAUCAUAUUAGUCGUUGUUCGUGAUAAUAACAGAGUCCCGAGUCGAGGAUUAAAAUUUCUUUCGGGAACACGUAUUAACUUUGAAGAGUAACCGAUGCGAUGGAUUAUAAAGCAUAAGUGGAGAGAUUACGUUUCUUAAAUGGAAUCUGAAGCGAAACUCGUGUUAUUUCACACCCUUCAAAGUUCAAACUAUUGUGUCGUCACACAUAAUAAACAAACAAA